CCUCCUGGGCAGGAAGGGGGCCCAAUGGGGGGAUGAAUGGCUGUCGUGAGGAGGACCCCUCCCGGGCAAAGGCCUGUGCAGAGUCUACGACACCAGGUCACCACUUGGCUCUGGACUGGCCUGACCACCACCCUCCCCACUGGAUCUAAAUCCCAGCAAACCAGACCGCACACCCACAGCCGCACCCCACCACCCACACCCAGGAAACAGCCUUUGAAAAUAAAAAUCAGUCGGGUGCAGUGGGGCACACCUGUCAUCUCAGCGGCUCAGGAGGCUGAGGCAGGAGGAUUGCAAGUUCGAGGCCAGCCUCAGCCACUUAGGAGACCCUAAGCAACUUGUGUACUGGAAGGGAUUCCAGAGGCACCGGCUUUUCCAAGACGCGCUGGAUCAACCGCACAGGAGAAGGCUCUGCGGUCUUGUGCAGGUGUGGCCGGGUGUCAGGUCGAGUUCACUGAGUCGCACAGACACUCCGCCCCAGCUCCGGUCCGUCUGCAUCCAUCUCCUACGACGUUCAAUACGUCUGUCCACCCAUGAACCAGAAACCCAGGAGCAGGCCCUGCCGCCGGCUCAGGGCGGACCAGCCAAGGAAAACUUGAUGAGAACGCAGCUCGUGGUGGGAGACGGGCCCCAAAGAGUUUACAAUUAUUUUAUAAAAUAAUCAGAAUUAUUUUGAUCCUAAUUGUGUCACAAACAUUUGAUCAUAACUGUAUACAAUGUGUCAUCGGUUUCUGUUGUUUUGAUCAAUUGGAUGCCAAUAAUAAUUGCACUAACUUAAACCUGAAGAAGUCACUGUCUUUCCCAGGGCCCUGUAAACCCGGGAAAUGGAACAAGUAUGAAAACUUUAAAAAAGAUAUAGUUUGGGGCUGGGCUGGUGGCUCAGUGGUAGAGUGCUUGCGUGACAUGUGUGAGGCCCUGGGUUUGAGUCUCAGCACCACAUAAAAACAAAUAAAAUAAAG